rnacentral:lncRNA from 1 species
GCAGGACCGACUGCCAAGGCCGCCGUGGUAGGGAAGUUUCUCCACAAGAUUGUGCUUAUACGUUUUGCGUUGCCAUAAAAGAACGCCGGAGACUGGGCCGUUUAUAAAGAAGAGAGGUUUAUUUGGUCCACAGUUCUGCAGGCAGUACCGGAGGCAUGGCAGCAGCAUCUGCUUGGGGUCAGGGCCUCAGGAAGCUUACCCUCCUGGUGGGAGGGGAAGGGUAGCAGAGGUGUCCCACAGUGACAGAUGGAGCAAGAGAGAGGAGCUACCUAGGCUCUUUCUAACAAUCAGAUCUCAUGGGAAUUCAUUACCACAGGGAGGGCACCAGGCCAUUCAUGAGGGAUUGGCCCAUGUCACCCAAGCACCUCCCACCAGGUCCCACCUCCAGCAUUGAGGGUCAGAUUUCAGUAUGAGAUUUGGAGAGGACAAACAUCCAAACUGUAUCAACCACCCUACAUGAACCAGUGCCUGCCUUUCUGACCUCCCCACUCACUCUGCUCCCCCUUCCCCACACUCCCCCUCCUUGUGCUUAAACAGGCCAUGCAGUUCCCACCCAGAUGGGAACGCAGAAGUGCUGAGAAGCCUCUGGCUGCUGAGAAGGACCGGAGACGCUCAGGCAGGGCUUCACUGAGGAGGGACAUCUUCAGCUGGGAACAACUCUUCCACACAGCAUCCAUGGUGUUUGUCUACACUCCAGUUUCUCUACUGUCAAAUAAUGUCCUGGUCUGGCCAAGAGGGCACUGUCUUCUCAUCAAGCUAUGAGGGUCCCAAGGAAGAGGAGCCCAGCCAGGGAAUGGGAGAAGGGGGAGGAGUCCAGCUGGGGGAGAGAAGAAAAGGGGGAGGAGCUCAGCGGGGGAGGGGAAUGAGGUAGGAGUCCAGCCAGGAGAGGGGGAAAGGGGGAGGAGCUCAGCAGGGGAGGGGGGAAGGGGGAGGAGUCCAUUCAGGGGAGGGGGAGAGGGAAG